GAAGGCAGCCCCUGGANNANUAUGACGCUCAUGCAUGAAAGCGUGGGAGCAAACAGGAUUAGAUACCUGGUAGUCNACGCCCUAAACGAUGUCUACUAGUUGUUGGUGGAGUAAAAUCCAUGAGUAACGCAGCUAACGCGUGAAGUAGACCGCCUGGGGAGUACGGUCGCAAGAUUAAAACUCAAAGGAAUUGACGGGGGCCCGCACAAGCGGUGGAUUAUGUGGAUUAAUUCGAUGCAACGCGAAAAACCUUACCUGGCCUUGACAUGCCACUAACGAAGCAGAGAUGCAUUAGGUGCCCGUAAGGAAAGUGGACACAGGUGCUGCAUGGCUGUCGUCAGCUCGUGUCGAGAGAUGUUGGGUUAAGUCCCGCAACGAGCGCAACCCUUGCCAUUAAUUGCCAUCAUUUAGUUGGGCACUUUAAUGGGACUGCCGGUGACAAACCGGAGGAAGGUGGGGAUGACGUCAAGUCCUCAUGGCCCUUAUGGCCAGGGCUUCACACGUAAUACAAUGGUCGGUACAGAGAGUUGCCAACCCGCGAGGGGGAGCUAAUCUCAGAAAGCCGAUCGUAGUCCGGAUUGUUCUCUGCAACUCGAGAGCAUGAAGUCGGAAUCGCUAGUAAUCGCGGAUCAGCAUGUCGCGGUGAAUAUGUUCCCGGGCCUUGUACACACCGCCCGUCACACCAUGGGAGUGGGUUUUACCAGAAGUAGGUAGUCUAACCGCAAGGGGGACGCUUACCACGGUAGUAUUCAUGACUGNGGUGAAGUCGUAACAAGGUA
rnacentral:rRNA from 1 species